GGAAUGGCGCAGCUACACAUGCAGUCGAACGGUAACAGGAAGAAGCUUGCUUCUUUGCUGACGAGUGGCGGACGGGUGAGUAAUGUCUGGGAAACUGCCUGAUGGAGGGGGAUAACUACUGGAAACUGUAGCUAAUACCGCAUAACGUCACAAGACCAAAGAGGGGGACCUUCGGGCCUCUUGCCAUCGGAUGUGCCCAGAUGGGAUUAGCUAGUAGGUGGGGUAACGGCUCACCUAGGCGACGAUCCCUAGCUGGUCUGAGAGGAUGACCAGCCACACUGGAACUGAGACACGGUCCAGACUCCUACGGGAGGCAGCAGUGGGGAAUAUUGCACAAUGGGCGCAAGCCUGAUGCAGCCAUGCCGCGUGUAUGAACAAGGCCUUCGGGUUGAAAAGUACUUUCAGCGGGGAGGAAGGGAGUAAAGUUAAUAACUUUGCUCAUUGACGUUACCCCAUCCCUAAACACCGGCUAACUCCGUGCCAGGGCUAAGGUAAUACGGAGGGUGCAAGCGUUAAUCGGAAUUACUGGGCGUAAAGCAUUUAUUGGCGGUUUGUUAAGUCCAAUGUGAAAUCUCCGGGCUCAGCCUGGGAACUGCAUUUGAUACUGGAGGGCUUUUGUCUCGUAGAGGGGUUUAGAAUUCCAGAUGAAACUGUAAUUUGCUGAGAGAUCUGGAAAAAUACCCAUGGCGAAGGCACCCCCCCUGGACGAAAGACUGACGCUGGGUGCUAAAGGAGUGCUGAGCAAACAGAUUAGAUACGCUGCUAGUCCACGACGCACACGAUGUCGACUUGGAAGUUGUGCACUUCUAGCGUGCCUUCCGAACUAACCUUCUA
rnacentral:rRNA from 1 species